AGAGUUUGAUCAUGGCUCAGAAUCAACGCUGGCGGCGCGCCUAACACAUGCAAGUCGAACGAGAAAGUGGAGCAAUCCAUGAGUACAGUGGCGUACGGGUGAGUAACACGUGGGUGAUCUACCUUUUAGUGAGGAAUAACCGAGGGAAACUUUGGCUAAUACCGCAUAAGCCUGAGAAGGGAAAGCAGAAAUGCGCUGAAAGAGGAGCCCGCGGCCGAUUAGCUAGUUGGUGGGGUAAGAGCCUACCAAGGCAGAGAUCGGUAGCCGGCCUGAGAGGGCACACGGCCACACUGGCACUGAAACACGGGCCAGACUCCUACGGGAGGCAGCAGUGGGGAAUCUUGCACAAUGGGGGAAACCCUGAUGCAGCGACGCCGCGUGAGCGAUGAAGCCCUUCGGGGUGUAAAGCUCUUUCGUCAGGGAAGAUAGUGACGGUACCUGGAGAAGCAGCUGCGGCUAACUACGUGCCAGCAGCCGCGGUAAUACGUAGGCAGCAAGCGUUGUUCGGAGUUACUGGGCGUAAAGGGUGUGUAGGCGGUUCCUUAAGUUUGCUGUGAAAUCUCCCGGCUUAACCGGGAGGGUGCGGUGAAUACUGAGGGACUAGAGUACGGGAGAGGAAAGUGGAAUUCCUGGUGUAGCGGUGAAAUGCGUAGAUAUCAGGAGGAACACCGGUGGUGUAGACGGCUUUCUGGACCGUAACUGACGCUGAGACACGAAAGCGUGGGUAGCAAACAGGAUUAGAUACCCUAGUAGUCC
rnacentral:rRNA from 1 species